UAUGCUUUUAUUGUAAUUUUUUGUAGUUUUAAAUGUAUAAUUUCAUAAAUUUUGAACAAAAAUGUGCACUGUAUGGAAUAUUUCAUUUUUGUAUAAACUCAUAUGAACUGUGCACUUUUAUUUAUCUUCAUUUUGACAUUAUCAUGCUUUUUUAUCAAUUAUUUUUUGUCUUUCAACAAAACUGUUGGAUUUUUAAAUUAAAAGGAUUCAAGGAUCUUUUUAUAUUUGAAAUUUCAUGUUAUAAUGUUGACUGGAUUCUUAAGUUGAGAUCCAGUUUAAUAUAUAUGUAUAUUUUUAGUAGAUACAAAAAUUGAACACUUUGGAAAUAUGAAAAAAUAAAAUAUGAUGAUUAUAUAUCACUGCCACAUUGGAUAGCCAACCUAAAGGCCCUGCUUAAUUUCAACCAUCCAUGUCCAGGAGUAACAACCAUCUCAAAUAUAUAAUUCUUCAGAAUGGCUAUCUCAUUCUCUAUGAAGUAUUCAAGAGAAGCCAAGUCCUUUUUUGAAUAUAAUGCAGAGUGUAUCUUGUUGAGGACAGAUAUCUGUCUAUCAGAACAAUAUUUCAUUGCCUCUGAUAUCUCCAGGUAUAUAUGAUCAUGCAUCCAUAUCAUCACCCAAUGCUAUUCUCUCCAUCCUUAUGAAUAUUGCUUCUAUAAGAUCCUUCACAUUAUCAACAGAUGAUGGAUACAUCUUCCAUCCCUUGAAUACAUCUGGAUCAAUGUCAUAUAUGUCUUGAUGUAGCUUCCUAUGUCUCUUCCAUCAUUAUGUAAGUCAUACUUUGAUAAUGUUUUCUUCCAUAUACCAAGGAUAUUAUUACCAUCAAGCUUAUGUGUUGGGAUUGGAUCUAGGACAAUAAUCCUAAGCUUAGAUAGUUCCAAUGGAGAGGCAUAGCAUGUAUCUUAUACCUUGUAUUCUGGGAUGAUAUCAAAGAAGCUGAUUUGUGAAGAAAGGUUAUUCGAUGGAGCAUUAUGUGAGAGUUUUAGCCUUGGGACCAAAGACAUGCUGAUUAUAUAAUGGAUGUGUAUGUUGAUGGGAGUGUGCAAUGGGUUUUAGAUAUGGGGAGUUUAGAUGGAUGAAGUUAGUCAGGGCUUUAGAAUGGGUAAGGAGAAUAGGCAGGGCUGUGGAUGGCUCAGAUGGACAGGAGUGAUGACUGGGCUUUUAUGACAAUCAGGGUUUUUUGAUAGUAGGGGGUUUGGCUGUGAUUAAGUUAGGCUAAGCCUGUGGUCAGAUCAAGCUUUUUAUAGGUAGGACUCUGAGGAGUUAAGAUGGCAAGGCUCAGAGCAGGGUUUUAUGAUAAUCGGUGCUUUAGAUUAGGCAGGGAGUUAGAUAAGUAGAUUAGGGUUUUAGAUUAGACUAAGUGAUAAGUUAGAAAGGCUUUUAUGCAAGUCAGGGUUUUAGAACUAGGCCUUUAUAUCAGGGUUUUUCUUUGGCCAUUUGUGUAGGUAGGACUUUAUCAAGGCAGGGUUUUAAAAUGGGAGAGGAAAUGUUCAGGGAGAGUGGACAAGUUUUUUUUGUAGGGACUAUGGAUGGCUAGGGUUUUAUAUAUGAUAUGAUAUAAUCAGGACUUUAUCAAGGCCUAUGAACAGGUCGAAUGGCUAGGUAGAAUGAGUAUGGAGUUAGGACCGAAUUUUCAUUCAGAGGGAUGAUGGGAAGGGCAGUGAUUGGGGUGUGGGGGAGAAUGAAGUAGUUAGAAUGGGAUUUUGGUGGACAGAGAUGAUGAUCAGGGAUUUAUCAAGGGGAUGAUGGGUAAGGUUUUAGGUUAAGCAGGCUUUUCUUUAGGCUAGGGCUUUAUCAAAGGUUAAAUAAGUCUCUCCAUCUUAGUGAGUUGGCAUCUCCAUGAUCAGCCAGUGGAUUAUAUUCAAGGUCUAAGAGUUGGAUGUGUUCAAGGGUUGUGAUCUCUUGGGGCAAUAGUUGUAUCUGGUUCAUUGAAAGAUAUAGGUGGCAUAGAUGAAUGGGAUCAACUAUCCAAGGUGGCAAUGAUUGCAUCCUGUUUCCAGCAAGAUACAGGUGGUGCAAGGCUAUUUAGAUGGCUGAUGGGAUGUGGCAAUGAUUUCGGCUAAUUCCUGUGGAGUGAUAGCUUAUGCAGGGCCUUUUAGGUUGUCUAUCCAAUGUGGCAGUGAUUGGAUAGCCAACCUAAAGGUCUGCUUAAUUUUCAACUUAAUAAAUUUAAAUAUUAGAUAUAAUGUUUAAUAACUCAGAUUUGUUUUUUGUCAAUAAUAAUUAAAAAAAUAUUUGAAGAAUGCUUUUCAACAUUGGUAAUAGUAUUAAAUGUGUUUUGUAAUUAAAAUUGUGUACUAGUAAAAAAUCUGAGACUAACAGUAAUAAUUUGUAUUUAAUUCCCAC
rnacentral:lncRNA from 1 species